ACGAACGCUGGCGGCGUGCUUCACCCAUGCAAGUCGCACGGAAAGGCCCUGCUUUUGUGGGGUGCUCGAGUGUCGAACGGGUGAGUAACACGUGAGUAACCUGCCCUUGACUUUGGGAUAACUUCAGGAAACUGGGGCUAAUACCGGAUAGGAGCUCCUGCUGCAUGGUGGGGGUUGGAAAGUUUCGGCGGUUGGGGAUGGACUCGCGGCUUAUCAGCUUGUUGGUGGGGUAGUGGCUUACCAAGGCUUUGACGGGUAGCCGGCCUGAGAGGGUGACCGGCCACAUUGGGACUGAGAUACGGCCCAGACUCCUACGGGAGGCAGCAGUGGGGAAUAUUGCACAAUGGGCGGAAGCCUGAUGCAGCAACGCCGCGUGCGGGAUGACGGCCUUCGGGUUGUAAACCGCUUUCGCCUGUGACGAAGCGUGAGUGACGGUAAUGGGUAAAGAAGCACCGGCUAACUACGUG
rnacentral:rRNA from 1 species